CCUACGGGGCGCAGCAGUGGGGAAUAUUGGGCAAUGGGCGCAAGCCUGACCCAGCAACGCCGCGUGAAGGAAGAAGGCUUUCGGGUUGUAAACUUCUUUUAUAAAGGAAUAAAGUGAGGCACGUGUGCCUUUUUGUAUGUACUUUAUGAAUAAGGAUCGGCUAACUACGUGCCAGCAGCCGCGGUAAUACGUAGGGGGCAAGCGUUAUCCGGAUUUACUGGGUGUAAAGGGGGCGCAGACGGCGAUGCAAGCCAGGAGUGAAAGCCCGGGGCCCAACCCCGGGACUGCUCUUGGAACGGCGUGGCUGGAGUGCAGGAGGGGCAGGCGGAAUUCCUGGUGUAGCGGUGAAAUGCGUAGAUAUCAGGAGGAACACCGGUGGCGAAGGCGGCCUGCUGGACUGCAACUGACGUUGAGGCCCGAAAGCGUGGGGAGCAAACAGGAUUAGAUACCCCUGUAGUC
rnacentral:rRNA from 1 species